rnacentral:miRNA from 1 species
CGCCUCUGUUUCGCGCGCAAG